AAAUUGAAGAGUUUGAUCAUGGCUCAGAUUGAACGCUGGCGGCAGGCCUAACACAUGCAAGUCGAACGGUAACAGGAAACAGCUUGCUGUUUCGCUGACGAGUGGCGGACGGGUGAGUAAUGUCUGGGAAACUGCCUGAUGGAGGGGGAUAACUACUGGAAACGGUAGCUAAUACCGCAUAAUGUCGCAAGACCAAAGAGGGGGACCUUAGGGCCUCUUGCCAUCGGAUGUGCCCAGAUGGGAUUAGCUAGUAGGUGGGGUAACGGCUCACC
rnacentral:rRNA from 1 species